AUCCCGUUCUAGAAUCUUCCAUAGACCAUCACUCCAUCUGUGAGGAAAGACAGACAGAAGCACACCCAGAGCUCUCAAACCCCGCUCUAGAAUCUUCCAUAGACCACCAGGCUGGCCAUGCUUCUUGCCCAGAAAGAACAAGUCUUACCUAAGCCCUGGCUGCUGGUUAGUGAUCAACUCCUGGAGAAGAAAGCCAUACCUGGUCUGAGGAAGCAAUUACUGCAUCACUGUGAAUUGACCAUGAGGCCAUAGACCCUGUUAAGACAGAAGUAAACAAAGCAACAAAACUCCUGUAAUUGUCUUUGAAAAAAUAAAAUCUAGUGAACAUUCCCAGCAA